CCUACGGGAGGCAGCAGUAAGGAAUAUUGGACAAUGGACGCAAGUCUGAUCCAGCCAUGCCGCGUGAAGGAUUAAGGCCCUCUGGGUUGUAAACUUCUUUUAUAGGGGACGAAAAAAGGGCUUUCUAGCUCGACUGACGGUACCCUAUGAAUAAGCACCGGCUAACUCCGUGCCAGCAGCCGCGGUAAUACGGAGGGUGCAAGCGUUAUCCGGAUUCACUGGGUUUAAAGGGUGCGUAGGCGGGCAUUUAAGUCAGUGGUGAAAUCUUCGAGCUCAACUCGGAAACUGCCAUUGAUACUAUUUGUCUUGAAUAUUGUGGAGGUGAGCGGAAUAUGUCAUGUAGCGGUGAAAUGCUUAGAUAUGACAUAGAACACCGAUUGCGAAGGCAGCUCGCUACACAAAUAUUGACGCUGAGGCACGAGAGCGUGGGGAUCAAACAGGAUUAGAUACCCUGGUAGUCCACGCCCUAAACUAUGGAUACUCGACAUUUGCGAUACACAGUAAGUGUCUGAGCGAAAGCAUUAAGUAUCCACCUGGGAAGUUACGACCGCAAGGUUGAAACUUCAAGGAAUUGACGGCUUGAGACGNGCGAGCGACGACGAGGAGGAGG
rnacentral:rRNA from 1 species